GAUACCAGGGGCCAAAGGCCGGAAAUUUGACGCAAGCUUGCUUGCAGGAAAAUUUCUGGCUUUGGGACCCGCCCCGAACAUGAGCAAGCAGCCAUUUCCGCCAGGAAAUGCGCGGAUUGCGAAUGGAAGGGGGCGGAUUGCGCGAGCACGCAGUGCGCAGCAAUCCGGUAUC
rnacentral:sRNA from 1 species